GCGGGCGUAGUUUAGUGGUAGAAUGACUGCCUUCCAAGCAGUAGAUAGGAGUUCGAUUCUCCUCGCCCGCA
rnacentral:tRNA from 3 species